rnacentral:lncRNA from 1 species
CCUAGUGCUUAUCAAUAUGUGCUUCUCUAAGAACAAGAACAUACUCUUUUCUAUCCCCAAUACAACACAAUUUAUUUCUGACUGCCUUUGCCUUAGCUCAUUUCCAGAUUACAGAAGAAAGCAACGGCCACAGCUCAGUGAUGAAUUACAUGCACUACAUACGCUGCAUUCUACGAACAUAAACCCACUAAAAGAAAGGCUGGGUUCUUGCUGCUGCCUUCUGAAGUCUUUCUAUUCUCCCUCCUGAAGAACAGUGGGACUAAAAGGAAAUGACCAUAUCAUACGCACAGGUAUAGAUAAACAUGGUUCAGGUAUAAGCAGGAAUUGACAAGUGGAUGGAGAUUCAUCUUCUUUGUCCCCUGGACAUAGUUUGACAGUACGCACAGCGUUUCCCCAGAGCAGGACAGACCAAGUGCAAAUGAGUCUCCUGGGAAGAAGACAAGGGCAAAAUAUAGGAGAGAAGAAAUGGAUCAUGGUGAGUAGCUGGAGUUACCAAGAGAGAUUGAUUGAUCCCUGAAGGAAGGUCCAAGGAAGAUGAGGAGGGACUUGGGAAAAUGGUAGGACAUAUCAUUCCUGGACAAGAGAAAGGGUGUUAGGGAAAAUGACUAGAUAAAUGAAGAUUCAGGGCACACAGCAUGGUUAUCCAAGGUUGGGGGAAUUUGGAUGGUUGUGAGGUCAUUCAGGUUUGGGGACAGGGUACAAAGGACCCUUCUAGAAGUCUGUC